CAAAAUAUAGCUUAAACAAAGCAUCUCGCUUACACCGAGAAGAUACCUGUUAAACUCAGAUUAUUUUGA
rnacentral:tRNA from 1 species